rnacentral:rRNA from 1 species
AGAGUUUGAUCAUGGCUCAGAAUCAACGCUGGCGGCGUGCCUAACACAUGCAAGUCGAACGCGAAAGCCCGCAAGGGUAAGUAGAGUGGCGCACGGGUGAGUAACACGUGGACAACCUGCCUUCGAGUGGGGAAUAACCUUCCGAAAGGAGGGCUAAUACCGCAUAACACCUCGGAACACAAGUUCUGGGGUUGAAAAGAGCAAUUUGCUCGAAGAGGGGUCCGCGCCUGAUUAGCUAGUUGGUGAGGUAACGGCUCACCAAGGCUUCGAUCAGUAGCCGUCCUGAGAGGGAGCACGGCCACACUGGAACUGAGACACGGUCCAGACUCCUACGGGAGGCAGCAGUGGGGAAUUUUUGGCAAUGGGCGAAAGCCUGACCAAGCAACGCCGCGUGGGUGAUGAAGUAUCUUGGUACGUAAAACCCUUUCGGCAGGGACGAACCUAAUGACGGUACCUGCGAAGAGCCC